CGGAGGGUGAAGAUGGUCAACGCUGAUGCCCAACUGACCAUGGAGACUGUGACAUCGCAUUUGUUAAACCACGUGGACCUGCAAGAUAUCUCUACUCAGACCACCCCUGUUGUUGUUGUUCACAGCAAAACCAUGGAAAACUUGCUGUCUCGCUCUGCAUCAUGGGUAAUAUUCUGUCUGGUAUUCGUGAAGACAGUCGUAUUGACGUCAUCGGUCACGUGAGGAUGUUCCUACGAUGUUGCCCUGACCUACAGUUCACCCAGAGUGAUGUGCAGAUGUUUCAUGACCUUGCACAGCAAUGUAUCCAGAAGGACAGACCCUGCUAAUACCUAUGCCAACAUCCGAACUUAAAAAGCCAAACUAGAGACCCAAAUACCACAGACUUUUCCAGUGUCUGAACAUGUCACUACAUCACAUGGAGACAUUGCCUCUGUAUUUGUAACGUUAGCUUCAAACGCAACGCCAGGCUUAUAGGUAACAAGUAUGUUAUAUAUGAAUGUGUAUUGAUGCAGGGAAAUUAUCGUCUCUGCCAGCUCAUUCUAUUCCAGUGUUCUGCAACGCGUCUAUGAACACUCAAUGCCAUUUACAAGAUGGACAAAUGUAACAUAUGUUAUUAUAGGGAUUACACUUUCUCAGUACAGGUUCUAGUACUUUUUCUUGAGUUGACUCCCAUGCGG